rnacentral:rRNA from 1 species
UACGGGGGGGGGCAAGCGUUGUUCGGAAUUACUGGGCGUAAAGGGUCUGUAGGUGGCUUGCUAAGUCAGACGUGAAAUCCCUCAGCUUAACUGGGGAACUGCGUCUGAGACUGAUGAGCUUGAGUGCAGGAGAGGAAUGCGGAAUUCCAGGUGUAGCGGUGAAAUGCGUAGAUAUCUGGAGGAACACCGGUGGCGAAGGCGGCAUCCUGGACCGGCAUUGACGCUGAGGCGCGAAAGCUAGGGGAGCAAACGGGG